rnacentral:rRNA from 1 species
CCUACGGGAGGCAGCAGUGAGGAAUAUUGGUCAAUGGACGGAAGUCUGAACCAGCCAUGCCGCGUGCAGGAAGACGGCUCUAUGAGUUGUAAACUGCUUUUGUACAAGGGUAAACCUGAAUACGUGUAUUCAGCUGAAAGUACUGUACGAAUAAGGAUCGGCUAACUCCGUGCCAGCAGCCGCGGUAAUACGGAGGAUCCAAGCGUUAUCCGGAUUUAUUGGGUUUAAAGGGUGCGUAGGCGGAUUGAUAAGUUAGAGGUGAAAUGUCCGAGCUUAACUCGGGAACUGCCUCUAAUACUGUUGAUCUAGAGAGUAGAUGCGGUAGGCGGAAUGUAUGGUGUAGCUGUGAAAUGCUUAGAGAUCAUACAGAACACCGAUUGCGAAGGCAGCUUACCAAUCUAUAUCUGACGUUGAGGCACGAAAGCGUGGGGAGCAAACAGGAUUAGAUACCCGGGUAGUC